rnacentral:rRNA from 1 species
GCAGCACGGGUACUUGUACCUGGUGGCGAGUGGCGAACGGGUGAGUAAUACAUCGGAACGUACCUUAUCGUGGGGAUAACGCAGCGAAAGCUGUGCUAAUACCGCAUACGCCCUGAGGGGGAAAGCGGGGGAUCGAAAGACCUCGCGCGAUUAGAGCGGCCAAUGCCUGAUUGGCUUGUUGGUGGGGUAAGAGCCCACCAAGGCGACGAUCAGUAGCUGGUCUGAGAGGACGAUCAGCCACACUGGGACUGAGACACGGCCCAGACUCCUACGGGAGGCAGCAGUGGGGAAUUUUGGACAAUGGGGGCAACCCUGAUCCAGCAAUGCCGCGUGAGUGAAGAAGGCCUUCGGGUUGUAAAGCUCUUUUGUCAGGGAAGAAACACCGGCUCUAACACAGUCCGGGAAUGACGGUACCUGAAGAAUAAGCACCGGCUAACUACGUGCCAGCAGCCGCGGUAAUACGUAGGGUGCAAGCGUUAAUCGGAAUUACUGGGCGUAAAGCGUGCGCAGGCGGUUAUACAAGACAGGCGUGAAAUCCCCGGGCUUAACCUGGGAAUGGCGCCUGUGACUGUAUAGCUAGAGUGUGUCAGAGGGGGGUAGAAUUCCACGUGUAGCAGUGAAAUGCGUAGAUAUGUGGAGGAAUACCAAUGGCGAAGGCAGCCCCCUGGGAUAACACUGACGCUCAUGCACGAAAGCGUGGGGAGCAAACAGGAUUAGAUACCCUGNUAGUCCACGCCCUAAACGAUACUGACUAGUUGUUCGGGAUUUACAUCCUGAGUAACGUAGCUAACGCGUGAAGUCAGCCGCCUGGGGAGUACGGUCGCAAGAUUAAAACUCAAAGGAAUUGACGGGGACCCGCACAAGCGGUGGNNGAUGUGGAUUAAUUCGAUGCAACGCGAAAAACCNUUACCUACCCUUGACNUGU